CGGGGCUCGGGGGCCUUCCGUUAAGAACUUAUUAAGUGGGGGGCGGUUAAGAGUUGAUCUGUCGCAGAGCGCUACUUACCCCCAUAUUUUUGAAUUACUUGUAUUGAUCUGAGACUGUGUUCUUUGGAAUGUGACCCUGUCGGACUUCGAGUUAAUCAGGAAGCGCUGCCGGGGAGGGCUCCUUGUAAUCACGGGACCUCCCCACCCGUGGGCACACUCCCCCACCCCACCCCACCCUUCUUAGUAGCCUGGGCCUUGCCUGGAACCGCCUGCCCUUGUCUUUGCUCCACAGCACGACCUGGGAGCUGUCUGUGGUGCUAGGAAAGAGAACCUUGGAGAUCGCCAGAAGAAGGGCCAAGCAAGGAGAAGUAAAGAGGAAGAAACAGAAUGGCAGCGCGCCCAGAAAAGCUCACAAUGACAGAGGCCUUCACAUCCCAGCUAGGAGAAAGCAAGUAUUUUCUCCAGUCACACUCGGGGAGCUUUGCAGCCCUGCC
rnacentral:lncRNA from 1 species